UACGUAGGGGGCAAGCGUUGUCCGGAUUUAUUGGGCGUAAAGAGCGUGUAGGCGGUUUGGUAGGUCCGCUGUGAAAACUCGAGGCUCAACCUCGAGACGCCGGUGGAAACCAUCAGGCUAGAGUCCGGAAGAGGAGAGUGGAAUUCCUGGUGUAGCGGUGAAAUGCGCAGAUAUCAGGAGGAACACCAGUGGCGAAGGCGGUGCUCUGGGCCGGUACUGACGCUGAGGAGCGAAAGCGUGGGGAGCGAACAGG
rnacentral:rRNA from 1 species